rnacentral:rRNA from 1 species
GUGUCAGCCGCCGCGGUAAUACGUAGGGAGCAAGCGUUGUCCGGAAUCAUUGGGCGUAAAGCGCGCGUAGGCGGCCCGAUAAGUCCGCUGUGAAAGUCAACGGCUCAACUGUUGGAUGCCGGUGGAUACUGUCGGGCUAGAGUACGGAAGAGGCAAGUGGAAUUCCUGGUGUAGCGGUGGAAUGCGCAGAUAUCAGGAGGAACACCUAUAGCGAAGGCAGCUUGCUGGGACGUUACUGACGCUAAGGCGCGAAAGCGUGGGGAGCGAACAGGAUUAGAAACCCUAGUAGUCC